CCUGUUUUACAAAAACAUGUCUUUUUGAGUUAUUUUUAAAGUCUGACCUGCCCACUGAAAUUAUUUAAAUGGCCGCAGUAUUCUAACUGUGCAAAGGUAGCAUAAUCAUUAGUCUUUUAAUUGAAGGCUGGUAUGAACGGUUGGACGAGGUAUAGGCUGUUUCAUAUGAAUUUGUAAUAGAAUUUUAUAUUUUAGUUAAAAAGCUAAAAUUUAAUUAAAAGACGAGAAGACCCUAUAAAUCUUUAUAUUUACAGAUUGUUUAAGUUUUAUAGAAUUAUUCUAUUUUUACAGUUUGGAGUAUUUUGUUGGGGUGAUAUUAAAAUUUAAUGAACUUUUAAUUGUUUAGAAUCAUUAAUUUAUGAAUUAUUGAUCCAUUAAUAGUGAUUAUAAGAUUAAGUUACUUUAGGGAUAACAGCGUAAUUUUUUUGGAGAGUUCCUAUCGAUAAAAAAGUUUGCGACCUCGAUGUUGGAUUAAGAUAUAUUUUUAGGUGUAGCUGCUUAAAU
rnacentral:rRNA from 1 species